rnacentral:lncRNA from 1 species
UUUCUACUCUGUGUCCAAGUGUUGAAUUCCUCCUACCCUGUGAGAGGAUGACUACCCAGAAAUGACCUCUGGGGUUAUCUUGGACUUGAAUGGUGCAGAGGUAACAACUGAUGGUGUGGAGCCUACAAAUGAAUGUGAAAAGCAACAGGUCUUCCCCCGCCAGUCUCCCUUGCAGCAACCCCGCAGGAAGGCAGUGAGAUGAAAAGCCAGGAUUCAUGACUACAACCCCAAAAUACGGCACUUCUGCCUGUGUGGAAACAACAGAAGCAGGAAGAUUACUCUCAUUUUUCUCUGGCCUUUUUCCCUUGAAGCAGACUAUAAAGAAGAAUCUGACCUUCCUCUGAAGGAAACCUUCAUUCCAGACAUACCCUCCCUAUAUCCAAAGAACAUCUUUAUCUUUAAAGACACAGAGAUGUCAAGAAGAAUCUGAACAAACAGGCUUUGCCAGAUCCCCCAGUUUACUAAUAUUGAACCAUACUCUUUUGUUCUUCAAUCAUACUUCUGCAUGAUGUCCAUAAAAAUACACAGUUUUCCCCAUUCCUUUUGGGUAUUUAUUCCCGAAAGCUUCUGUGUCAUGUAAAACUUACAUUAAAUAAAUUUGUAUGCUUUU